UCAUUUUAUUUUGACGGGGGUAGUUGGGGGAGGAAUAUCAUUUCUGAAAUGCCCAAGGAAUGAAGGGAGAGGAUAUGGAUUUCUUAAACAGUUUUUUGCAAGAGGAGCGGUGUCUUGUUCUGCAGAUGGAAACACCAAAGCACAGAGUCAAGCGACUAAGUUCAUUCGCCUGGAAAAGAACUGCGCGUUUCCAGAGCUCUCACUCAUGGUCACCAUACUGCACUGCCUUUUCAUGAAGGGUGUAAAUACACGCCAUGAUUUGACUCCCAGCAUGACAAAACCAGACUUUUCCUGUUACAGCUCCCAUUUCCACAGGGGCAUCAACUUUGCUAAAUGGGGGUGGUUGCUGAGUUCCAAGAAGGAGCAUUCCAUGAAAGGUGAAAGCAGAAGCUGUAUAUUUCUGAAGACUUGGACUCAAAAGUUACAUAGCAUCACCUCUGCUACAUUAUAUUGGCGAAGUCCAAGAGGAAGGAAAAUAAA
rnacentral:lncRNA from 1 species